UGUGAAUUUAAUGGAAAAUGUAACAAAUUAAAAGUAUAAAUUAAAUAAUUUGUGAACAUGCAAAAUAACCAAAAAAAUUAAAUGGAUAUUUUUAUACCCUCCACCAUAAUAUGGAGGGUAUAUUAAGAAUUCAAACGCGGAAUAGUGUGCAAUAAAGACAACAAAAACAAUUGGAAUGGCUGACAAGCAAAAUGCAAAGCGGAAUGAGAGAAGAAAAAGAAACUUAAUUUGAAGGUUAUGAUUAACACAAAUUAUGUUCAACGCUGUUACAUGGGAAUCAGAAUCACUUUCCUGAUUGUUGUGCUUGCUCCUACAAAGACGGCAAUGACAGAAACGGGACAUCUGGAUGCAUGGCACGAAAGCAGUAACAGAAUAGAUCACCACAGCAAAUUAGUUUUAAAUCAAUUUAACAAAACAACCGACACUUAGAUCCCGGGUUUCGGGAUUUUUGGUCUGGUAAAGAAGUCGAAUACGAUGCGGUUAAACGGCGAUUAACUAUAUUUACGUUAUGAAAAUUAAAUAAAAAGUAAACCAAUAAAAAACUUAAAAAUAAAAGAAUUAUUACGCUCCAAUGUUAGCCUAAUGUUUCACCUCUGCAAUUUCAUAUUAUGUUCUUUUAUAUUAUCUAACCAAACAAGGGGUAUG